GUGGGGAAUCUUGCGCAAUGGGCGAAAGCCUGACGCAGCCAUGCCGCGUGAAUGAUGAAGGUCUUAGGAUUGUAAAAUUCUUUCACCGGGGACGAUAAUGACGGUACCCGGAGAAGAAGCUCCGGCUAACUUCGUGCCAGCAGCCGCGGUAAUACGGGGGAUGCAAGCGUUAUCCGGAUUUAUUGGGUUUAAAGGGUGCGCAGGCUGAUCGGUAAGUCAUGGGUGAAAAGUCACUGCUUAACAGUGAUCGUGCCUAUGAUACUGCCGGACUAGAGUUUAAGAGGUGUAACUGGAAUGUGAUGUGUAGCGGUGAAAUGCUUAGAUAUGUCACAGAACGCCAAUCGUGAAGACAGGUUACAAACUUAAUACUGACGCUCAUGCACGAAAGCGUGGGGAUCAAACAGGAUUAGAUACCCCUGUAGUCC
rnacentral:rRNA from 1 species